rnacentral:miRNA from 10 species
UAGGUAGUUUCCUGUUGUUGGGA